AUUGAACGCUGGCGGCAGGCCUAACACAUGCACGUCGAGCGAUCGGCGGACGGGUGAGUAGUGUAUGGGGACUGCCCGAUAGAGGGGGAUAACUACUGGAAACGGUGGCUAAUACCGCAUACUAUCGGAUAACCCAUAUGGGAUUAGCUAGUCGGUGGGGUAAAGGCUCACCUAGGCGCCGAUCUCUAGCUGGUCUGAGAGGAUGAUCAGCCCCAAUGGGACUGAGAAACGGCCCAGACUCCUAGGGAGGAAGCAGUGGGAAAUAUUGGACAAUGGGCGAAAGCCUACUCCAGACAUGCGGCGUGGGUGAGGAAGGUCUUCGGAUGUUAAAGCACUUGAAGUGGGAAGGCGUUACCAACAGAAUAAGCACCGGCUAACUUCGUGCCAGCAGCCGCGGUAAUUC
rnacentral:rRNA from 1 species